GGCUACUUGAGUAGCUCCGGGACUGCCGUAGUGCUGGCCCUGCGUUCCGCGCGGUCCAACGGGGACCUUGGCGUCCAAGGGGAGGAGCUAGCGCAGGCGCCCGGCGCAGCCUCGGGGAUCUCCGGGCUCCUAGACACCGCCCUGAACUUACGCGGUGGGAAGGAACCGUACGUCCUUCGUUGUGCACUGUGCACGGCUGGGUGAAGUUGAUCGCAGGCCCCUCUCACACUCUAGAGCCCCUCUAGGAUCACAUUGGCCAUGCCCCAAACAGACGUAGCUUUGUAUGUACUGGUGAAUCCAAGAAAUCCUUCAGACAUUUUGCUUCUAGCCUCAGAUGAAAAACGUGUAAAACAAGGGCAGAUGGCAUCUUGGACAUCACUGAGGAUGGAGCUGGACCACCGAUGAAGUUCUCAGAAGCCUGCCUUAUUCCUAUGCCUGGACUCUUAGGCUUUUGUUUGGCUCCACGGUUUCAAGUUGGGUGUUCUGAUACAGCCAAACACAACCCAGCUGAGCAAAGGCCUCCUGACUCUGUGAGGCACCUUUAUAUAACUCAUCAUUUAGUGAAAUCAGAAAGUCUAGCAUAAAGCGUCUCAGCGGAAUUAGCAGUCGUUGCUGUUAUGAAAUUGCGAGGCAGAGAUGACUAUUGAAAUUAAUGCGACACAAACGACCGGAGAGCCGUUUCAUUCGGCCCGGGGAAGAGGCAGUUUCUAGUUACUGCCAGAUGUUUGUCACUUUGGCCUGGAUGCCAGGGGGGUGAAACAGCCACUGAGGAAGGAAGUAUUUUCUGAGGAGAGACGGAUAUUUAGAUUUCUGGGCAGGCUCACAGCGUGAACAUAAACAAUAUUUUUAAAAAUACCGCCUUCUUUCUUCAUGCGGUGGACAGCUGCUGCUCUGGCCGGCCUGGAAGCCAUCUUGGUUUUUCUGGGGGGCAUGGAUGAGCGGGCAGCUAGCGCCCCACUUCUCUGUGUCCCUCUCCUCUGCUUGUGCCCUGUCAUCUCGUGGGAACCAGCCACACCUGAUCCCAUCCCAGACACUAACCCCCAGAGGUGGGACUGUGUCUUCAGGCCACUCCCACCCUCCCGAGAACUCAGAUCUCUAGGGGAAUGACGCAAGAGGGAAACGCUCCUUGGAGUCAUUCCUAAAGGGACCCUCCAUGGGUCACGUGAGGGACCCAGAGAUUGCCUUUCGGAAGCCUGGAUCUAGGGGCUCUCCAGUGGCUUCACUUAGGGCAGUGCUGUGUUUUGGCGAUUAUGGUUUAGAUGUGGCUGGCUGAAGGAGGUCAUCAUAUCUUAUGUCACCUCUGCACAGUUGAAAAAGUCUACAUCUCUCCAGGCUCCCGAUUGCUUCCAUCACUGCAGAGAAUGCGUUUGUCGGAGGACUGUGCUGACUCUCCGGGGGAGAUGUUAGUUGGCCUGGUGUCCAUAGUCAGUCCCCAAAGACAGGACACUGUGACCAAAGAUUGCCUGCCCAAGGUGACAAUACCUUCUUGGAGACAAUGAAGAGCUGUUAUGUGUCCCAGAUUCAUAGGAAUAACCUAUUCACUCCAUAUACGCUAAAGUACUUAUCCUCACAGCAAAGUAUGGUACAUUAUAUUUCAGCAAGUUAAUGAUAACCUAAUUAUCUGAUCCUAACUUCUCUGAAGUUGCGAUGUGUCUUGUAAACAGUGUUCUCUUAUAAUUGUUGUCAGCCAGGAAGUGUUUGUGAUAGCAUGGCUGCCCGAUGAUGUUGCACUAAAUCACAGCUGUUUGUGUAUACUCCUCCAUUGCUCCCAGUCCUGGAGGAACCCAAGGCCCUCACAUAUGUUAAAGCAAGUGCUGUACCACUGAGCUGCCUUCCAGCCCCUGCUCACAUUUCAGUUGAAUUCUCAACAGUGUUGAUACUGCAUUUACUAUUUUUUUUUUGUUGUUGUUGAUUAUGAUGUUUUCCUGGUUCGUGUCUGUUGACGUCUGCUGCUAAG